rnacentral:lncRNA from 1 species
GGGCGGCGAAGAGACGGCGCAUCAGGAAAGGGGCUGCGCGGGCGCGAGGACUGGCCGGUGGGCGUUCCGGCGCCGCGAACCGCGGAGCCUGCAACUUACAAGGACGUUGAAGAAAGGACAAGCCCCCUUUGUCCUGGACGUAAGCCGCAAGUCGUCCUGAGUGGUGCACACCGCGAAGACUGAGGAAACUGGAUCACAGGGCUGGGCCGUGAGCCUUGAACCUCGGAGAACGUCGCAUUACUGCUCCAGCGCGCCGGUUCAGGGCCGCGGGACGCGAGCCCUUUAAAAGGAUGGAUUUGCUUCCUGUGACUCCCUGGAAGAGACGUCUUCACCACCGCACUGCGUAGAGGCCGGCGUCGUCGCCGGCUCACCCCGCUUGCUGCCUCCCCGCACAAAGCCCAGCCCAGGUAGCUCAGGUUAGCUGGAGCCCCGGAGCCUCACCUACAAGUACCUGGCCUGUCCUAGGUUGUGUGGGGACGGGAUGUGGCUUCUGCAAGCCCAGAAACCUGUUUCCACUCCCCCACCACAAAUGGAACUCACCCAGCUCUACUCGCAAGGUUAGGAGCCAAAAAUUCCCAUGAUCGCACGCGAAUUCAUUUGACUUCCGUUUCAGUUAAGAUGCCUUUUCAGCAUUUUGUUGCUUGUUUGCAGAAGGGAGAGAGGUAGGAUCAAGAAUAGUUUUUACUCCUGCAGAGUCGAGUGCGAGACUUGGAGGCUGAGUCCAGGCGCUCUCCCCUCCCCGCCAGUCCCGUGUCCUGGAGCAGGUCACUGACCUGGUUCCUCGAGUGCGACAGCGCAGCCUCAUCGUAAUAAACCGCCUCCCAAAGCGUUGUCAGAUCAAAUUCCAGAACAUGUUACUGGAAAGCACCUUGAACACUCUAAACUGCAGCACAGUUAUUAGUUAGCAAUACUCUUUGGGGUUUCACUGGCACCUUUUCUAACAAAUAAGAUUGAUAGAUGCCUGCUCAAACAAAUUGAAGUGCUUGUCUCAGAUGACACACUUGGCAGGCAUGGGACGUUCACAGGCCAACUAGAGAGCUAAUUUCAAAACUGAGAUAUAAAAGUGUAUCGCUGUACUUACAAGUUACCAAGUGUUGAGAAAUUACUCACUUUCAUUUGUGUGUUUAAUGUCUUUUUUGUUUUUUUAGACGGAGUCUCACUCUGUUCCCCAGGCUGCAGUGCAGUGGCAUGAUCUCGGCCCACUGCAACCUCCGCUUCCUGGGUUCAAGCAAUCCUCACAUUUCAGCCUCCCGAGUAGCUGGGAUUACAGGCGCGCACCACCAUGUCCAGCUAAUUUUUAAAAAUAUUUUUAGUAGAGACGGGGUUUCGCCAUGUUGGCCAGGCCGGUCUCAAACUCCUGGCCUCCAGCAAUCCGCUGGCCUCGGCCUCCUGAAGUGCUAGGAUUACAGGCGUGAGCCACCGCGCCUGGCCUGUUUAAUGUCUUGCAGUGGGGUCAUCUCCGAAACAAAGAGGGAUGGGAAGAAGGUAGGUGCCAAGAAGUCUGCUGGUUGGAAGAUUUCAUCUCAUUGGCGAGAUCCCUGGGUUUCUCCACCUCAGCAGUGUUGGCUUUUGGGAUGGGAUAAUCCUUUCAUGUGGGGUCUGUUCCAUGCUUUGUAGGAUGUUUGACAGCAUCCCUGGCCUCCACCCACUAGAUGCCAGUAGCACACACACUCCUCCAAAAUUCACGGAAAACGUCUUCAAAGUCAAAUAUGUGGCCCCACCUUCAUCUCCAUCCCCAACCCCUGAUUUAAAAUUUGCCACUGGUGAUGAUCUCAUUGGGAGCUAUUGAGAAUACACAGGACUGUGGUUUACACCUGUAAUCCCAACACUUUGGGAGGCUGAGGCUGGAGGAUGGCUUGAGCCCAGGAGUUUGAGACCAGCCUGGGCAACAUAGCAAGACCCCAACUCUAAAAUAAAUAAAAUUUUAAAAAAUUUUAAAAAGGCCAAGAACAGUGGCUCUCACCUGUAAUCCCAGCACUUUGGGAGGCCGAGGCAAGUGGAUCACUUGAGGUCAGGAGUUUGAGACCAGCCUGGCCAACACAGUGAAACCCCAUCUCUGCUAAAAAUACAAAAAUUAGCGAGGCGUGGUGGUGCACGCCUGUAAUCCCAGCUGCUCCAGAGACUGAGGCAGGAGAAUCGCUUGAACCCAGGAGGCAGGGUUUGCAGUGAGUCGAGACUGUGCCACUGCACUCCAGCCUGGGUGACGGAGUCAAACUCCAUCUCAAAAAAAAAUACACAGGAUUGUGGCUCAUGCCUGUAAUACCGGCACUUUGGGAGGCCAAGGUGGUAGGAUGGCUUGAGCCCAGGAGUUCAGGACCAGCCUGGGCAACAUAGCAAGACCCCAACUGUACAAUAAAUAAAUAAAAUUUUUUAAAAUGAAACAAAGGCCGGCCAGCUGCAAUGGCUCACGCCUGUAAUCCCAGCACUUUGGGAGGCCGAGGCAGGCAGAUCACUUGAGGUCAGGAGUUCUAGACCAGCCUGGCCAACGUGGUGAAACCCCAUUUCUACUAAAAAUAUAAAAAUUAGCCAGCCGUGGUGGCAGGCACCAGUAAUCCGAGCUAUUUAGGAGGCUGAGGCAGGAGAAUCGCUUGAACCCAGGAGGCAGGGGUUACAGUGAGCCGAGAUUGCACCACUGCACUCCAGCCUGGACAACAAGAGUGAGACUCCAUCUCAAAAAAAAAAAAUUAAAAAUAAAAGAAUGCACAGUCCAGUAAUGUCACCCAGCCCUAUAUCAGUAAAGGUCACACUCUAGAGUGGUACAUAUCUCAGCUGCAUCUAAGGCCUUGCUAAUUAGCUCAUUAGAAUGUCACAAAUGGGUUUUUAUAUUACCCAUGUAUAGCUGCCAAAAAUGUUUAAGUGAAUCUAAUCAAAGUUGGAAAAAAAAAUAAGAAAAAUCCAGGUUGGAAGACAUUCAGCAAAACAAUUUCCCUGCACUACACUCUAAAAAAAGUCAAGCUAGGGAAUUGGUCCAGACAGAUAACACAACUGGGUUGGUCCAUUAAGUGACCCCUGAUGCAGCACUGCAUUGAAGGCAAAAAAGCUGUGAGAGAGAUUUGAGGGACAACUGGGGAACUUUGUAGUUAUAUAUGGACUAUAUAUUAGACAGUAUUAUUGUAUCAUCAUUAGAUUUUUCAGUGUGACAGUGGCUAUUUACAAGAAUGCCCUAGUUCUUAGGAUGUUAGUGCUGAAUCAUUAGACAAGAGACCUGAUGGCUACAACUGACAUAUAAAUGCCUCAGAGACUGAUGUAUUUUAUAUGGAGGUAAAGCAAAUGUAACAAACUGUUAAUAGUUGGUGGAUCUAAGUGAUGAGUCUAGGUGUGUUAUUGUGCAGUUUUUUCAACUUUUCUGGAAAACGAACUUUUCAAAAUAAAAAAUUGGAAAAAUAGAA